rnacentral:rRNA from 1 species
AGUGCGCAAACCGCAAGGAUGCAGCUGGCCACGGUAGGAUUAAUGACUUGGGGUGUA